UUUGUUAAAAAUGAAGUCUAAUACAAUAUCUAUGCCGAUAUCAUUUUAGAGUAAUUUCUUGUUACAAAUUAAGUUUAAAUCAUAAUGUCGGCGAUCUGCCUCCUCCGCCUCUCCGUUUGCGGCACUCCUUGCCGGCGAACGGGGAGGGCUCCUCCUCCUCCCUCUUUGUUGUCUUUGAUGUUUCUCCUCCUCUCGUGCUCCAUCGUUUUGUUUCAGAUUUCGAUUGCCCAUCGUCUCUAGUUGGUGGUGCGUGGUGGGUUUCUCCUUUCUGCGGUGGUUGUGGCUCUUGAUGAGACGUUUGGGUUCGUUGGACCUCCUAGCGACGGGAUUCUUCUCCGAUCUAGAAAUCAGGUGGUGCAUCGCCUUAGUUUUGUUUUUUCUGCUCUUCGUAAAGCCUCCUCGAUUCUUCAUCGUUUUUGCUCGAAGUUGGAGCUUGUGGUGUCUUUUGUUGUUGUUGUUUUGUACUUAGACAACAGUGAUGUUAUGCGUCAUGUCGGAGUGGAGUCUUAAGGGAAGAAUAGAGGCGGCGCGUUGGUCUUCGAGGCAUCAUUUAUCCGUGGGAGAUGGUUCCUAUUGUUUUGAUAGGAAUGGUGACUGAAGGUAGUUUCUUUGGUUAUCCCUGUAACCGUCGGAUUUGUGUUUUAGUCCUCUGUUGUCUUUGCGUUUUUGCGUUAGUUUGCGGAGAAGCUGUAGGCGCUUUAUUAAGAGGUUUUGUGGACGGGCUUCUGCUAAAGUUUGCUCGUGGCAACUACGAUGGGACUCCAACUCUUUGGUAUCUUCGAGUUGUGGAAAUCACGCAAAUUUCUGAGUUUAGCUUCUCGGAAUCGGUGUUUUUUCUCUUGUUUCCGCUUUUAGUUAACGUUAACCACUAUUACUGUUUGUUUUUGUCUGUGCUUUCUGUAGAUUUAUUUUUCCGCUACAUGUAUUCCGUGUAACUUCUGUCAUAACUUCGAAAAUGG
rnacentral:sRNA from 1 species